GACGAACGCUGGCGGCGUGCUUAACACAUGCAAGUCGAACGGAAAGGCCCUGCUUGCAGGGUACUCGAGUGGCGAACGGGUGAGUAACACGUGGGUGAUCUGCCCUGCACUUCGGGAUAAGCCAGGGAAACUGGGUCUAAUACCGGAUAGGAGCCAUUUUUAGUGUGAUGGUUGGAAAGUUUUUUCGGUGUAGGAUGAGCUCGCGGCCUAUCAGCUUGUUGGUGGGGUAAUGGCCUACCAAGGCGGCGACGGGUAGCCGGCCUGAGAGGGUGGACGGCGACAGUGGGACUGAGGUACGGCCCAGACACCGACGCGAGGCAGCAGGGGGGAAUAUUGCACAAGGAGCGCAGGCCGGAUGCAGCAACGCCGCGUGGGGUAUGACGCCCUUCGGGUUGUAAACUCCAUUCGCUAGGGACGAAGCUUUUUGUGACGGUACCUAGAGAAGAAGCACCGGCUAACUACGUG
rnacentral:rRNA from 1 species